rnacentral:rRNA from 1 species
UGCAAGUCGAACGGUAACAGGUCUUCGGACGCUGACGAGUGGCGAACGGGUGAGUAAUACAUCGGAACGUGCCCAGUCGUGGGGGAUAACUACUCGAAAGAGUAGCUAAUACCGCAUACGAUCUGAGGAUGAAAGCGGGGGACCUUCGGGCCUCGCGCGAUUGGAGCGGCCGAUGGCAGAUUAGGUAGUUGGUGGGAUAAAAGCUUACCAAGCCGACGAUCUGUAGCUGGUCUGAGAGGACGACCAGCCACACUGGGACUGAGACACGGCCCAGACUCCUACGGGAGGCAGCAGUGGGGAAUUUUGGACAAUGGGCGAAAGCCUGAUCCAGCAAUGCCGCGUGCAGGAUGAAGGCCUUCGGGUUGUAAACUGCUUUUGUACGGGACGAAAAAGCUUCUCCUAAUACGAGAGGCCCAUGACGGUACCGUAAGAAUAAGCACCGGCUAACUACGUGCCAGCAGCCGCGGUAAUACGUAGGGUGCGAGCGUUAAUCGGAAUUACUGGGCGUAAAGCGUGCGCAGGCGGUUAUGUAAGACAGAUGUGAAAUCCCCGGGCUCAACCUGGGAACUGCAUUUGUGACUGCAUGGCUAGAGUACGGUAGAGGGGGAUGGAAUUCCGCGUGUAGCAGUGAAAUGCGUAGAUAUGCGGAGGAACACCGAUGGCGAAGGCAAUCCCCUGGACCUGUACUGACGCUCAUGCACGAAAGCGUGGGGAGCAAACAGGAUUAGAUACCCUG